GAUGAACGCUGGCGGCGUGCCUAAUACAUGCAAGUCGAGCGAACAGACGAGGAGCUUGCUCCUCUGACGUUAGCGGCGGACGGGUGAGUAACACGUGGAUAACCUACCUAUAAGACUGGGAUAACUUCGGGAAACCGGAGCUAAUACCGGAUAAUAUAUUGAACCGCAUGGUUCAAUAGUGAAAGACGGUUUUGCUGUCACUUAUAGAUGGAUCCGCGCCGCAUUAGCUAGUUGGGAAGGUAACGGCUUACCAAGGCAACGAUGCGUAGCCGACCUGAGAGGGUGAUCGGCCACAUGGGAACUGAGACACGGUCCAGACUCCUACGGGAGGCAGCAGUAGGGAAUCUUCCGCAAUGGGCGAAAGCUUGACGGAGCAACGCCGCGUGAGUGAUGAAGGUCUUCGGAUCGUAAAACUCUGUUAUUAGGGAAGAACAAAUGUGUAAGUAACUAUGCACGUCUUGACGGUACCUAAUCAGAAAGCCACGGCUAACUACGUG
rnacentral:rRNA from 1 species